rnacentral:rRNA from 1 species
GGGUGGAUUAGUGGCGAACGGGUGAGUAACACGUGGGCAAUCUGCCCUGCACUCUGGGACAAGCCCUGGUAAACGGGGUCUAAUACCGGAUACUGAUCGCCUUGGGCAUCCUUGGUGAUCGAAAGCUCCGGCGGUGCAGGAUGAGCCCGCGGCCUAUCAGCUUGUUGGUGAGGUAAUGGCUCACCAAGGCGACGACGGGUAGCCGGCCUGAGAGGGCGACCGGCCACACUGGGACUGAGACACGGCCCAGACUCCUACGGGAGGCAGCAGUGGGGAAUAUUGCACAAUGGGCGAAAGCCUGAUGCAGCGACGCCGCGUGAGGGAUGACGGCCUUCGGGUUGUAAACCUCUUUCAGCAGGGAAGAAGCGAAAGUGACGGUACCUGCAGAAGAAGCGCCGGCUAACUACGUGCCAGCAGCCGCGGUAAUACGUAGGGCGCGAGCGUUGUCCGGAAUUAUUGGGCGUAAAGAGCUCGUAGGCGGCUUGUCGCGUCGGUUGUGAAAGCCCGGGGCUUAACCCCGGGUCUGCAGUCGAUACGGGCAGGCUAGAGUUCGGUAGGGGAGAUCGGAAUUCCUGGUGUANGCGGUGAAAUGCGCAGAUAUCAGGAGGAACCACCCGGUGGCGAAGGCGGAUCUUCUGGGCCGAUACURNCGCUAGGAGCAAAGC